GCCCUUCUGCCAUCUCUCCAAAAACGGUGUGCUUCCCAUCAAGGUAGUCGAGAUCAUCACGCAGUGUGAUGUAGAACUGAGAAGCAUUUAGGUUCUCCCCAGCGCUAGCCAUGGCGACAGUUCCCAUCUUUGAAUGCUUCAAGUCCAAAUGAAUCUCAUCUCCAAAGAACCGAGCCUGGUCACCGUAUAAAAUUUUGUAAACUGAAUCGCCCCCAGAUCCUGUUCCAGUGGGAUCUCCGGUCUGCGCAGUGAAAUCCUUCUGAAUCGUGUGGAAAAGGCAGCCAUUGUAAUACUUAAUCUUGCACAGCUUCAAAAAAUUCUUGCAUGUCAAUGGGCAGCGAUCCGUAAACAAGUCAAUAACUAUUUCUCCCAAACUUGUGACUAUCAUCACUGACAUUUUUCUCAGGAAGAAAGGAGAUUGAAGACUGGGGAAG
rnacentral:misc_RNA from 1 species